GAUGAACGCUGGCGGUAUGCUUAACACAUGCAAGUCGAACGGACUCUUCGGAGUUAGUGGCGGACGGGUGAGUAACGCGUGAGAAUCUGGCUUUGGGUUCGGGACAACCACUGGAAACGGUGGCUAAUACCGGAUGUGCCGAGAGGUAAAAGAGAAAUUGCCUGAAGAUGAGCUCGCGUCUGAUUAGCUAGUUGGUGAGGUAAAGGCUCACCAAGGCAGCGAUCAGUAGCUGGUCUGAGAGGAUGACCAGCCACACUGGGACUGAGACACGGCCCAGACUCCUACGGGAGGCAGCAGUGGGGAAUUUUCCGCAAUGGGCGAAAGCCUGACGGAGCAAUACCGCGUGAGGGAAGAAGGCUCUUGGGUUGUAAACCUCUUUUCAUAGGGAAGAACAAAAUGACGGUACCUAAGGAAUCAGCAUCGGCUAACUCCGUG
rnacentral:rRNA from 1 species